rnacentral:misc_RNA from 1 species
GAUGAAGAACGUAGCGAAAUGCGAUAAGUAAUGUGAAUUGCAGAAUUCAGUGAAUCAUCGAAUCUUUGAACGCACAUUGCGCCCGCCAGUAUUCUGGCGGGCAUGCCUGUCUGAGCGUCAUUUCAACCCUCAUGCCCCUAGGGCGUGGUGUUGGGGAUCGGCCAAAGCCCGCGAGGGACGGCCGGCCCCUAAAUCUAGUGGCGGACCCGUCGUGGCCUCCUCUGCGAAGUAGUGAUAUUCCGCAUCGGAGAGGGACGAGCCCCUGCCGUUAAACCCCCAACUUUCCAAGGUUGACCUCAGAUCAGGUAGGAAUACCCGCUGAACUUAAGCAUAUCAAUAAGCGGAGGA